rnacentral:rRNA from 1 species
UGCCAAUGGCACUGCCCGGUAGCUAAAUGCGGAAGAGAUAAGUGCUGAAAGCAUCUAAGCACGAAACUUGCCCCGAGAUGAGUUCUCCCUGAGACUUUAGGUCUCCUGAAGGAACGUUGAAGACGACGACGUUGAUAGGCCGGGUGUGUAAGCGCAGCGAUGCGUUGAGCUAACCGGUACUAAUGAACCGUGAGGCUUAACCUU